rnacentral:rRNA from 1 species
UGGGGAAUAUUGCACAAUGGGCGAAAGCCUGAUGCAGCGACGCCGCGUGCGGGAUGAAGGCCUUCGGGUUGUAAACCGCUUUUAAUUGGGAGCAAGCGAGAGUGAGUGUACCUUUUGAAUAAGCACCGGCUAACUACGUGCCAGCAGCCGCGGUAAUACGUAGGGUGCAAGCGUUAUCCGGAAUUAUUGGGCGUAAAGAGCUCGUAGGCGGUUUGUCACGCCUGGUGUGAAAGUCCAUCGCUUAACGGUGGAUCUGCGCCGGGUACGGGCAGGCUAGAGUGCAGUAGGGGAGAUUGGAAUUCCCGGUGUAACGGUGGAAUGUGUAGAUAUCGGGAAGAACACCAAUGGCGAAGGCAGAUCUCUGGGCUGUUACUGACGCUGAGGAGCGAAAGCAUGGGGAGCGAACAGGAUUAGAUACCCGUGGUAGUCCAUGCCGUAAACGGUGGAUGCUGGAUGUGGGACC